UCUUCAUUUCACCCGCUGUCUCACCGGUCAAAGAGGCGAGAGAGCGCGCGAAAAGAGGAGA
rnacentral:pre_miRNA from 1 species